rnacentral:rRNA from 1 species
UACGUAAGUGGCGAGCGUUUAUCCGGAAUUACUGGGCGUAAAGCGUGCGUAGGCGGUUUUUGUAAGUUUGGUGUGAAAUCUCCCGGCUCAACUGGGAGGGUGCGCCGAAAACUGCAAGGCUGGAGUAUGGGAGAGGUAGGCGGAAUUCCUGGUGUAGCGGUGAAAUGCGUAGAUAUCAGGAGGAACACCUGUGGUGUAGACGGCUUACUGGACCAUGACUGACGCUGGAGGCACG